GGCAAAGCCGCCCGGUGGAUGGCUCGGCUCGGGCGCCGAAGAAGGGCGUGGCAAGCUGCGAUAAGCCCGGGGGAGCCGCAGGCAGGCUUAGAACCCGGGAUCCCCGAAUGGGGCUUCCUGCCGGGGCUGAAUAAGCCCCGGCGCCCCGUAAGGGGCGGGAACGCGGGGAACGGAAACAUCUUAGUACCCGCAGGAAGGGAAGCCAACAGGGACCCCUGAGUAGGGGCGACCGAAAGGGGGGAAGCCCAAACCAAAUCCCCGCGGGAAAACCGCGGGGAGAUGUGGUGCAUGGGCCCGGGCAACCGCCGGCGGGCGGUAGCCGAAGUGGGCUGGAAAGCCCGCCGUAGAGGGGGCUGGGGCAAGGUCUAUAAUAUACCUCUAAAAAAUUCUUGCAAUGACAGAAAAAAUUAGAAUGAAUUGCGAAGAAUUCGCCGACUAUUUCGUAGGUGUUGUUAUAGGAGACGGCGAUUUAUAUCACGAUGUAAAGAGGGGUUAUAGAGUAAGAAUUACGGACGCUUCUGUCCACUAUCUAAACAUAUUAAACAGCUACUUGAAGCAGUGUUUUAAAGUCGAGGGAAGAAUCAAUAAGCACAAACAGUAUGAGGCUUAUUAUCUAGUGAUAUGGCGCAAAGAGGUGUAUGAGUUUGUUUCUAAGCGAAUUCGACAUCUGCUCAAGGAACCAACGCCUGCCUUUAUCGCGGGCUUGAUUGAUGCCGAAGGUGGCGUAGGUAAAACUCGUUACGGCUUAUACAGGUUAUAUUUUACGAACGCCGACAGGAAAAUUGUAGAUUUAGUUGCAAAGAUGCUUGAGAGCUAUGGAAUAAAAUACUACUUAAUCGCCGAGGGAAAAAGAUACAGGGUAUAUAUUCACGGAAUUGACAGAAUUAGGGAAGUUCUCAACAGAUUCCCUGUAAUUCACCCCAAAAUCAGGGACAAGUUCAUUUCUUUUUUCCAAGAUUAACUUUCUCCUACGCCCCAGCCUCCGCGGAGAGGGUGAUAGCCCCGUAGGCUAAACCGCCCGUGGCGGAGUCCCGGAGUCCCGGAGUACCACGGCUUAGUUUUGCCGUGGGAAUAUGCCGGCCACUGGCCGGCAAGGCUAAGCACGUCCCGAGUCCGAUAGCGCACUAGUACCGUGAGGGAAAGCUGAAAAGAACCCCGGAAGGGGGGUGAAAAGAGCCUGAAACCGGGCGGCUACAGUGGGGCGGGCCCGAAAGGAUGCCCCCUCCCGAAGGAAACCCCGGUGACGGGGGAGUACGAGGGAGGGGGUCCAGGGUCCGCCCUUACGUCUAGAAACACGGGCCGGGGAGUUCACGGCCGUGGCGAGCCUAAGGGGUUCAACCCCGGAGGCGUAGGGAAACCGACAGCCCGCAGCGGGGAAACCCGCGAGGGGCGGGGUCUGAAAGGGCCCGUAGUCACGGCCGUGAGACCAGAAACCGGGCGAUCUAGCCCUGGGCAGGGUGAAGCGGGGCGAAAGCCCCGUGGAGGCCCGAAGGGGUUCUGACGUGCAAAUCGUUCCCAUGACCUGGGGCUAGGGGCAAAAGACCAAUCAAGCCCGGUGAUAGCUGGUUCCCCCCGAAGCGGGUCGCAGCCCGGCCUCCCCGGAGGCGGCCGGUGGGGUAGAGCACUGAUCGGGGAUGCGGGAGCCGAAAGGCUCCGGUCCCCGGUCAAACUCCGAACCUACCGCGCCGUAGAAGGGGGGAGGCGGGGGCGGUGGGGUAAGCCUCCGCUCCGAGACGGGAACAACCGAGACCGGGGUUAAGGCCCCCAAGUGCGGGCUUAGUGUCAAUCUCAAAGGGCGUCCCCCGCCCAAGACAGCGGGGCCGUGGGCCUAACAGCAGCCAUCGGCUAAGCAACGCGUAACAGCGGACCCGCCGAGGCGGGGGGCCCCGAAGAUGUACAGGGACUAAGCCCGCCGCCGAGACCCCGGGCCUCCGGCCGUUGGCCGGAGUGCGGUAGGGGGGCGCGGCCGUGGGGCAGAAGCCGGGCCGUGAGGUCCGGUGGACCCGCGGCCGACGAAGAUCCCGGCGGUAGUAGCAGCGAAGAGGGGUGAGAAGCCCCUCCGCCGGAAAGGACCAGGGUUUCCUGGCAACUUCAAUAGGCCAGGAGUUAGCCGGUCCUAAGGCGGGGCCUAAUAGGCACCCGCCGAAAGGGAAACGGGUUAAUAUUCCCGUGCCGCGGGGGUAGGUCUCGCGGUAACGCAGGCCCGUCCCCGACGCCUCGGGAUAGGGCGGGCGGGACUGCCGUCCCGCUUAACCGUCGAAGGCCGGGGAGUGCCGUAAUGGCGAGAACCGGCCGAAGGCGGGAAUAGCCGGGGGUUUCCCCGGUCCGCCCGACUCCUGGGGCCCGUGAAAAGGGGACGGGGAACGAGCCCCCGCGCCCGUACCGAGAACCGACGCAGGUGCUCCUGGGUGAGAAGCCCAAGGCGGCUCGGGUGACCCCGGGCCAGGGAACUCGGCAAAUUGGCCCCGUAACUUCGGGAGAGGGCGCGGCGGAGGAUUUAAUUUAUAGGAACCAUCGGAAGCUGUGAGGGACGCGAGGGAGCGUUUAAAUCGACUCAUUGGAUUUCUUGUAGGCGAUGGAUUUUACUACAUGAAGAGGAGCAGGAAAAACUACUUAGUUGGAUUUGUCCAGAGCUCUAAGAGGAGAGAAAUACUAGAAGUCUACAAAUCGUUGCUGUCGAUAAUAUUUAACAGAAAGUCCAUUGAGGAAAGAGCGCCAAACAAUGUAGUAAAGGUAUAUAUCUAUUCAAAAGACGCAUAUUAUUUCUUCAAGGAGAUAAAAGACGAUUCAGCCAAAUAUUUCCGCCAACUUCCGCCGGAGGAGAAGAUAAAAUUCCUAGGCGGGUUCACAGACGCAGAAGGAACAGUUAAGAGGGAUCGAAUUAUUUUAUACAACGCCAAUAGGGAUUUGCUCAUUGAAAUACAGGAAUUUUUGAAGACGCUUGGAGUCAGAUCUACUCUACACUACCACCAUGGUGCAUAUGAGCUACACAUAUGGGAGAAAAGGAGCAGGGAGAUAAUUAUGGCUCUCUGUAAGAAUUACUCCUCCAAAAUAUCCUCCCUUUUCUCUUAACUCUUUCUCUUAACUCCGCCGCGCCCCCCGAGAAGGGGUGCCUGCGGUCUUGGGGUAUACCCCCGGGACCGCAGGUCGCAGUGGCAAGGGGGACCUGACUGUUUAACAAAAACAUAGGUCCCCGCGAGCCCGUAAAGGCGGAGGCGGGGGGUUAUUUCCCUAAGAGAUCUGCAAAAGGAGUUAACUCCUUUGUCCCCAUCUUGCGUUCACCCAUCCCCUGCCCCGCCGCGGAGGGGUGUGUACGGGGGCUGAAUCCUGGCCACUGGCGGUACGUGAACCCCGGGUACAACCGGGCGAAGCGCCGCUGAAGGCCGGGGGUAACUCUGACCCUCUUAAGGUAGCCAAAUGCCUUGCCGGGUAAGGGCUGAAGGCGGGUAAUUAUCUUCAUGUCUGUUGCUUAUCUGUUGGGGUUAAUUGUGGAGGAUGGAGGGCUGUAUGCUCUCCGCUAUAAGGGGGGACGCACCGAGUACAGAGUUGUAAUUACGCAAAAAGACGAGAAAAUUGUAGAGAGGGCGGUGGCUAUGCUAGAGGCGUUGUUAAAAAAAUUGGGGCUGAAGUCUAAAGUACAAGUAAUACGCGGACGUAGUAGAAUUGAAGUGAGAGUUUCAAGUAAAGCGCUUUGGCAGUUUUUCAAUAACGCUCUUUCCAAUCUUGAGGAAUUGCAACCUUCUGAGAGAGUGUUUUUUAUUAAGGGCUUGUACGACGCUGAGGGCGAUAAGUCCCGGCGGAGAGUGAGAAUUUGGAAUAAGAAUCUCCGGUUGCUUGUAAAAAAUUGGCUUAGCGAGUUCGGCAUAGAGAGCACGAUAUAUCUUGACGACGAAAGGCAUGGGGUAUAUGUCCUCGAGGUUCCAUCCCCCUAUAGGGAUAGAUUUUUCAAACUCAUACACCCGCCUCAGCCCCCCGAUAGUUCCGGCGUGCAUGAAUGGAUCAACGAGGUCCCCACUGUCCCGGCCCGGGGCCCGGCGAACCCACCUCCAGGUGCACAGUCCUGGGACCCCCGACGGGGCGAGAAGUCCCUAUGGAGCUUCACAGCAGCCUGUCGUUGCGGGGGGGCGGGGGGUGCAGAGCGUAGGUGGGAGCAAUGAAACGGGGUCUCCGGGCCCCGUGGAUGCGGCCCUGGAACACCACCCACUCUCCGCCCCUCCGCUUACCCGCCGCAAGGCGGGGACAGCGGCAGGCGGGCUGUUCGGCUGGGGCGGCACACCCCUGAAAAGAUAUCGGGGGUGCCCAAAGCUCGGCUCAGGCGGGUCAGAAAUCCGCCGUAGAGUGUAAGGGCAAAAGCCGGGCUGACUGGGCCCUUGAACGCAAGGGGCCCAGGCGGGAAACCGGGGCCUAGAGAACGCUCGUGCCCCCACCAGACCCACCUGGGGCAGAGGUUUAAAUAGAGGGAGGGCCGUAAGGCCAUGGAGGAAAUAUUGGAAUAUCUGGCCGGGUUGAAGGCAGAUGGUUAUCUGUUAAUUAAUGAGAAGAAGCGUGAUUAUCAGUAUAGGAUAUACGACAAAUCUAAAGAGUUCUUACAGCUGGUGGCGGAGCUUAUUGAAAGGAUGGGCUAUGAGGUGUAUAUCUACGCGAGAGGCGGCGGCAGAUGGUAUGAACUGGUGGUUUACGGCAAGGAUUUUGUGUUGUCAAUAGGCGAGCUUUGGCGUAGGCUUUUAGAGAAUCCCACCAACGCCUUUGCCAGAGGCCUCGCCGAUGCCGAGGCUUCUGUGAUAAAAGGAAAUCCGAAUAGGAUCAAGUUCACGAAUAGGGACGUGGCCGUGGCGCGGGCUUUCGCCAGAGCGUUGGCCAAAAACGUCGUGCCUUACAGGACUUAUGUAGAGAGGCGGGCUAGCGGCAUAGAUUACGUGGUGGUGAUAACUGGAGUGGAUAAUAUCGCCGUUUUUGCGGAGAGGAUAGGAUUUCUGCAUCCGGCUAAGAGGAAGAAGUUGUUUGACUUCUGGGGGAUUGAGAGCCCUCCCUUUUUCAAUCAUCUUUCUUAAGCCCGGGUGGGGGUGCUUGGGGGCCGGGCAUGACAGAAAAGUUACCCUAGGAAUAACCGGCUCGUCGCGGGUGAGAGUCCCCAUCGACCCCGCGGUUUGGUACCCAGACGUCGUCUCUUCCCAUCCUGGCGGUGCAGCAGCCGCCAAGGGUGGGGCUGCCCGCCCAUUAAAGGGGAACGUGAGAUGGGUUCAGACCGUCGCGAGACAGGUCGGUCUCUACCUGUCGGGGGCGCUGGCCGCCUGAGGGGAAGGUGCCCUCAGUACGAGAGGAACGGGGCGCCGCGGCCUCUAGUGUACCGGUUGUCCGGCAGGGCACUGCCGGGCAGCCACGCCGUAGGGGAUAACCGCUGAACGCAUCUAAGCGGGAAGCCCUCCCCGAGACGAGGCGGCCGUUGCCCUGGGGGCAACCCCGGGGCACGAGGGCUCCCGUAGAAGACGGGGUUGAUGGGGGGGCGGUGUAACCCCCGAGGGUCUCCCCGAGGGGGGAGCCGGCCCCUCCCAAUCGCCCGAG
rnacentral:rRNA from 1 species